UACGUAGGUGGCAAGCGUUGUCCGGAUUUACUGGGCGUAAAGAGCGCGCAGGCGGUUAUUCAAGUCGAAUGUGAAAGCCCCCGGCUUAAACUGGGGAGGGUCAUUCGAUACUGUUUAACUUGAAGGCAGGAGAGGGUAGUGGAAUUCCCGGUGUAGUGGUGAAAUGCGUAGAUAUCGGGAGGAACACCAGUGGCGAAGGCGACUACCUGGCUGUUCUUGACGCUGAGGCGCGAAAGCUAGGGGAGCGAACAGG
rnacentral:rRNA from 1 species